CUGUUUUUCCGUCUAAACCUCUCUAAAAUGUCUGAAUCUCCAUAAAUGGGACUUGAAUUUUGACUAGCUCCAUAGUUCACAUCACUCAAGUGUUUCUGCUAGUAGUGGAUCCACAACUCUUUGCUUGCUUGGCUCUGAGUCACACCUGACCGAUCAAUGCAGGUGUCACUUUGCUUUUAACUGUUUACAUAUAAAGAGUCGAGUUUCGCACGUGGCCACCUGGGUCCUGAUUAAUCUACCCAUAUAGCUACGUUGGGUUUAGAUGCUUAGGCAUUCUUGUAAAUUGUUUUCUUAAAAUUUGUUUUGUUUAUCAAGAUUUAGCUUCAGUUGGGGAAAUUUGUUUUUUUAUAAAAGAAUAAGGAAUCUCCUUCCUUAAACCACAUGAGUAUGUCUGCUCUUUAUAAAAGAGUAAGGGAUCACUUCCAAAUUAUGUGCCCGUAUUGCAGAUAAACCCCAACCUUAAUGAAUGUCCUGUACAAUUUAAUCUCUUUGUCAUGUUUAUUAGGUACUCAUCGAGCAUAACCCCUUUUUCCUCGUUAUAAGCUGGUAAUUUGUAAUUGGAAUCCCUAUAUAACCAUUCAAUACCAACAUAUUCUUUUAUAUCGACACAUCACCAACUUAUUCAUAAAUGAAAGAUCAAGUUUCUCAAGACGGAUAAUAUAACCUUUGGUAAUGCCAUUUAAAAAGUAAACCGACUGGGUUUCUACAUUUAUAGAUACCAAUCAUUUCCACUCCAUCAUCAACCCAUUCAUUGAACCAUAAAUAUCCCUGUGAUGCUUCCAUAAAAAACAUUCUAUUAUUUUUCUGGGGAGCUGGUGAAGUUGGACCAGUCUAGAGAUAGCAAGAACCUGCCAUGGUAGGUAAACAUGCUUUACUAUAACUAUAAAUAAUUCAAAUAGUCGUAUCUGUUAUUGUUAGCAUCGAGUAUUAUUAGUUCAUGAAUUCAAUCGUUGAAAGCUUGUAAGAUCGCCGAUAGCACAAGUUUUACCAUGGGUUCAGUUGAUUCCACACCUCAAUUUUGCGUCAAAGACUAGGUUCAGCUUAAUUUCAGCUUCCCAUAUUGUCUUGACAUCUGCAGUUAAUGGUAUUUUUAUUGUAGUAGUGCAGCUGGUAAUGAUGAGUUGGAUUUUAAGUAUCUGGGUUAGAUUUGCCGUGCGGUUGUUUGUGUUUUCUUGGAGUUGAACACAUAUUUUUACAACAUUUGUUUACCUAUAAAUGUUAUUCUGCUUGCCGCAUGAGUUAAUUCCUAAAAUCUUUCCUUCUGUUUCCAGAUUGAUGAGAAUGUCCAAAGGGAGAUCAUGAACCACAGGUCACUGAGGCAUCCAAACAUAGUUAAAUUUAAGGAGGUACGUCCUAUUUUGCCUAUGAGACAGCAAUACAAACUUAGAUUCAGCAGCGCAGUCUGGUAAAUUUGAAAUGUUCCAUUUCUGAAUUCGUUAAUGCCUUCUGUUUCAUAUUGCAUUGAAUGUUAUAAAAACAUCUCAUAAGAGCUGCUGGAGAAUUCUAUAAUUAUUGUACGGGAAAAUAUCUACCUUGUGCAUUUAUUACACAUUCUUUGGAAUUCUAAAAACUCGGCCGGGGAGGGAAAGACCGCCCUCCCGGUAUUAUAUUAAGAAGAGACCGAAACAAUGGUCCCGGCCGAGAAAAUCCCCGAACCCUGGCCCCCCAUCACUAACGGGCCGGCGUCAACUGUCCACUCUGCAACGGCCCAACCGGAGGGUGGCGCACAAGACAUCGUAACCCGAGAGUGGAUGUGGCACAGCGAGGUGAUUUUUUUAACCAAGCCUGAAAAUUCGCUCCCGAGGGGAAUCGAACCCAGGACUUGGAGGUGCUACUUGGAAGUCCUUAACCACUAGGCUAGAGGCCCUUUCGCUUCUUUGGAAUUCUGAAUCUGAGUUAAAAUUGAAAUACCUAAGAGAAUAUUCAGUUUUUGAUUGACUAGAUAAAAAUAAAGUAUGGUGUGAUGCUCAACUUCAUAAAUUUUUGGGCUAUCCCUCUCCCAGCAACAAAGUAUUGUUUAUACGUAACCCAUUCUGCCUUUUUUAUUGGACAAAUGAAGUGUGAGGCGAAAGUAUCUACACGUUGCAAAGUUGAAUGAAUUUUCUGACAGCAAGUGUGUUCUAUUAUAGUCAGUCAUAUGUUUAGUGUAGUUGGUGUAAAUGAUACUUGUUUGGUAGAAUAAUUCCUUUAGAUCAACAGUUCUAGAGUCAUUGUCUGUUUUUAUGUGUAGGACUACUUGGUGGCAACUUGUUUCUAUGGGUGUUGGAUACUUGGAUGUCUAUCAGCAUUCAGCAGCUAUGGGUAGCAUGCACUAGUGCCAUGCCCCUUGAGUCGGGGAAGUGCUUAUGGCAUUUGGGCCUCGGAGUUUUUUUUGCCAAUAACUCAUAUUUGUUGAGUGGCUAUAAUGCAAUGACUGAGUGACAGUUCCUUAGCAGUUAGCAGUCUGCUUUGUCCUCUUGUUCUUCUGUUAUAUAUUCUUGUUUGCACGGAAUGCAUGCCACUGUUUUUUGUGCUACCUGAUUUGCCGUCGAUAAAAGAGGUAUCAACUAGGUAGAGUGAAGGAGAAUUAUCGCUGGAUGGUAAUAUCAACCAAAAAUAUCGAACUUCGGUCCAUAGACUGAAUUCCUUUUAACUUGUUUUUUUCUCUCGCCAGGAUUUCAUAGCAGCACACCUUUAAGAAAUGUUUCUCGCAACUAAGUUCUUUGGAAUGUAAUUAGCUACAACAAGCAUGGGUCAAUUAUGAUUCUGGCAGUAACUUGUAUUCCUUUCAACUAGUUUGGCUGCAGUACCGGAGAAAUACUUAGUGUACUGGUCAUUGACGACAGUAAAUUUCGUGGAUUUAAUUGGAGACCUCUUUAUAAUGCUAACAACAUAGUUAUCUCAUGAAGCUUAUUACUGCAGAAAAUAGCAGGAGAGGGUCCAACCGUGAUUAUUACAUUUUUGUUUCAGAAUUUAAAUUUAUUACCAUUUCCAAACUACAAAUUAAAAGAGAGGCUUAGUUUUUCAGGUUGUGCUAACUCCCACACAUUUGGCCAUAGUUAUGGAAUAUGCUGCUGGUGGUGAGCUAUUUGAAAGGAUCUGUAAUGCUGGAAGAUUUAGUGAGGAUGAGGUAGAUCAGCUUUUACUACAUUGGAAUCUUUCAUAUUAACCAAGAUAUGUUCUUCUAAUGAACAUCAUUUGUUCUCCUGUGUAGGCGAGAUUUUUCUUCCAACAACUGAUUUCAGGAGUUAGUUAUUGCCACUCAAUGGUAUGUUCUCUCCAGCUAACAUGUGAUUAGUAACUUGAAUAGAACAAAGCCGUUCGCUUCAGCUUAUCAGCUGGUGUAGCUGCUGUUGCUGCAGCUAUUUCUAUAGUAGAUAGAAGUGUAGGGGCUGCAGCCGCAGCUAUAGCUAUAGCUUCAUCUGUGAGUCUGACAUAAUGAUAUUUUUGUUCCCUUGCUGCAGCAAAUAUGCCAUAGAGAUUUGAAACUAGAAAACACUCUCCUGGAUGAUAGUAUAGCACCUCGGCUAAAGAUAUGUGAUUUUGGUUACUCCAAGGUACUGCAGAUUAUAACUUUAGUAAGCAGCUUGCCUUGCAAAUGAACACUAUAAAUCAUACUCGGGUUUUUUUCAGUCCUCUGUGCUGCACUCUCAACCAAAAUCAACUGUCGGGACACCAGCUUACAUUGCUCCUGAGGUCCUUGCUAGAAAGGAAUAUGAUGGAAAGGUGAGUCCUGUCUUUGCUAGAUCUUGUUUCCUAUGUUGUGUGCAUGGUCGUUUAGCCCGUGUACACGUCGUGUAAACGCUACACAUUGGCUUACCGCGUAUGUUUAAAUAGCCAUUUAUCGCGUAUGUUUAAAUAGCCAUUUAUCAUGAAUAAAUAGCUAAACCAUAGGUGACCUUUUAGUCCGUUUAAACGUUUAUCUUAUCUCUAAUGGAGUGGCGCACAAACUUGUUGCAUGUUCUAAAUAAGAGAAAUAUCCUAAUUAAUAAAACUGAACCCUCAAACAUCACCAUGUUCAAUUUAGGUCGCCGAUGUUUGGUCAUGUGGAGUUACUCUGUAUGUGAUGCUUGUUGGUGCCUAUCCCUUUGAGGACCCCGACGAACCGAAGAAUUUCCGCAAGACGCUUACUGUGAGUAGAUCCAACCUUCCCCAAACAAUAACUUAUGUAUGUACUAGUUUACUGCUCGGCUCAUGUAUUUAAUUUUCUCGCAGCGGAUUAUCAGCGUCCAGUACGCGGUUCCUGAUUUUGUCCGAGUUUCAAUGGAGUGCAGGCAUCUGCUGUCUCGGAUCUUUGUGGCGAAACCUGAGCAAGUAAUUGCGUCGAAACAUUUUCCGCAACGAAAAUCAUAACUCUGCUGCAUUCUUAUCAUCCAUUUCUUGCAGCGGAUAACCAUCCCAGAGAUCAAGAACCACCCAUGGUUCCUGAAGAACCUGCCCAUCGAGAUGACCGACGAGUACCAGAUGAACCUACAGCUAGUCGACAUGAAUGUCCCCUCGCAAAGCCUGGAGGAGAUCAUGUCCAUCAUACUGGAGGCCCGGAAGCCCGGCGACGGGCUGAAGCAUGCGGGACAGCUCCCCGGCCUUGGGAGCAUGGAGCUGGAUGACAUUGAUGUUGACGACAUAGACGUUGAGGACAGUGGCGACUUUGUAUGUGCCUUGUGACGCGGUUCAGGCUGUCCGGCACCGUUGCUGCGGUGGACUCUCCCCCACUCUCCUGGUCUUUGUGUCUUGCUGUUAUUCCAUGUUGUUUGUUUCAGCGAGCUCCGAGCUCCCAUUUUGUUGUUGUAAUAUCACAUGUUUUGUGUAACCAAGGUAGUGACGCUGUGGAUAAAUAAUAGACGUUAUGUGUUGUAUUCUUGCUGAAUUGUUGUUCAGCUCCUUCUGUUUGCCCUGUAUGAACUGGGCAGUUUCAUGAGUACCACAAUGUGUAUGUUGAUGGCUCUGUCUUCCCUUGUCUCGGCAAUGUGUUUUUUCUUGUAUUUUUGCUAGAAGCAAUCUUAUGAGUUACGAGUACUAUUUACCACCCUAUCAGAUUUUGCUUUAUUACCAUAUCAAUGAACGACUAGCAUUAUUUAAGGUUUAUUCGUUUUUUUGCGUUAAUCCAUGUGUAUUGGAUGAGAUUGAGUCAGAUUAAAUUCAUAGUAAGUCAAAAAUCUAUUCCAAUCCCACCCAAUAUACUCUAAUCCACGUGGAAUAUCAAUAACCGAACAAGACCUUAUUCGGAAGAAAACCCAACAUAAUACUAUAUUAAAGUACCGGUUUUCAUGAUUCCACGGUUUUUACUGUCGACGUGCUCUCUCAUGUUUAAAUAGUAAAAAUACUAAAAUUAUACACAAAUAAAGAUUUAAGUCAUAAUUGUUUUGGCUCUAAACAUACAUUCACAACCACUUAGUCAACAAAACAUAAAUGUAUUUGUGCUUUAUAUUCUACACUUAAAUAUAAAUAGAAACCAGGAUACUUGGCUAGUAUAUAUAAGGCAAAACAUGUCCUACAACGACUAGCAUUUUCGAUGGCACAAGAAUAUUCUCUAAUGGGCCAAGAAAAUGGGCGAACUGGGUGGUGGUACAGCUUGGUCGCAUAGGUUGGGGCCCAUUUAUACUGCCAAAUCGCGCAGGCAAAUAUGAACGGCCAAGAUCGAUCAUCGCAACCGUUCGUGCGGCGCCCGCUCCUCCUAGCCUCCCCGCAACUUAUAUAAAAACCAAUCGUCUGUCCUCUCUGCCCUCUCGUCCAAAACCCUAGCCCUCGCGCCGCCGCCUCCUUCGCCACCCAGCGCUCGAGCUCCUCGCUCCCUGCGAGCGCGCGCCGCAACGCCACCAUGAAGGUAAGCUACUCCCGGCUUUUCCCACGAUAGGAGGUGUUUGUGGGAAUAUAGUAUCUGAUCUGUGCGCACUUUCCAGUUCAACAUCGCGAACCCUUCCACCGGGUGCCAAAAGAAGCUGGAAAUCGAUGACGACCAGAAGCUGUGAGUGUUUCGCGUCCUCCAUCUGCUCUGUAUUUUUCGUUUCUCUUAGAUCCGUGGGAGUGGUGUUUUGCUUCGAGCCCACUUUGUAGCUGAUGGUGCCUUGAUUGAGUAUUUGAGUGCUAGUACUUGAUGCAUCGGUUUGUUCUAUGUGGUUUUGCCAACUUGUCCCUUGUCUCAUUAAUAACCCUUCCUGCUUAGAUUCAUUUACUUAGGCUGCUUGCUGUUGCCCACUGGACCAUCUUAUACUUCCUAUAUUCAUAUAUAUUAGCUUUAUUAUCCGGAUAUAAUAUAAUGCCUUGUAUGCAACAGUAAAUUAGGAAUAUAAAAACAUACAUGAUUAGCAUAGUCUUCUGAGGUAUUGAAUUUUUAGAUAUACGCCACCCCCAUUUUGUUGUUUCUUGAAUGGAUCAUUGCUGGUUUUUUUCGUGUCCAUUGAUUAAAUUAGGAAAACAUCUUGAUUUGCGUUAAAUGUUGUUUAAAUCGUGUUAAAUUCAUGAUUUGUUGAACUUAGGAGCAGGGAAUCGUUUGAUUGCCGUGUUUUAAAUUGUGGUGAGAAUUGAUAUUUCAUAUAGGGGCUUAGAGCAACUUAGGGUAAUAAUUUAUUUCUAGAAAUUAUACUGACUUAAUUCAAAAUGGUGGUAGAUCAAUCUGUUCUGUUUUAUUUGUUUGAAAGAGGACUUUACUAUCUAGCUUUUGAGUUAAUGAAAAUGUCUUCUCUGAAGUUAUAAUCUAUUCCCUCUGUCCUAAAAGCAUACUACUGUGUUAAACCAUUUUGAAUUUGACUAGGUUUAUAUGAAAAGUAUCAUUAUUUCUGAUACCAAAUAAAUGUCAUUAGAUUUGUCACACUUUUCUAUAAAUUUCUUUACACUUUAGAAAGUUUCUCUAGAAAUAGAGCUAUACUUGCGUUUUUUAUUGGACUGAGGUAUCAAAUAAACAUGCUAUUUCUUCUUGGUCUUCCUUGCUUAGUUUGCUGAUAAACCUUUUGUAUCAACUAUAGGCGUGCCUUUUAUGACCGAAGGAUAUCCCAGGAGGUCAGUGGUGAUGCUCUGGGUGAGGUAAACUUUGGGAUGACUUAUUUCUUGAUCCAUGACUCUUGCUGAUUUCAUACUUAAAUAUAGGUGUGAUAUGUUUCUUUGUUUUGCAGGAGUUCAAGGGUUAUGUCUUCAAGAUCAUGGGUGGAUGUGACAAGCAAGGCUUCCCAAUGAAGCAAGGAGUUUUGACUUCUGGUCGUGUUCGUCUUCUGCUCCAUAGGGGUAUAGAGACUUCCUAUUUACAGUGUACUCUCAGCACCAUCUUUUACUCUGAUUCUUAUCUGAACAUUCGAUAUCAAUUCUGUAGGGACUCCCUGCUUCCGUGGUUAUGGCAGGCGUAAUGGUGAGCGCAGGAGGAAGUCUGUCCGUGGUUGCAUCGUGAGCCAAGACCUAUCUGUUAUCAACUUGGUGAUUGUGAAGAAGGGUGAGAAUGAUCUGCCUGGUCUGACUGACACUGAGAAGCCAAGGAUGAGGGGUCCCAAGAGGGCCUCCAAGAUCAGAAAGCUGUUCAACCUUAACAAGGAUGAUGAUGUACGCAAGUACGUGAACACAUACCGCAGGACAUUCACUACCAAGAACGGUGAGCUUCCUUGCAUCAAACUGCAGUUGAAUUUCAAUGUCUUGUUAAAGUAGAUUUGACUUUGGUUGGGUUCGACAGUUUGUCUCCCAAGUGCCUGCAUGCUUUGUCUUGGUUAUUUACCCUUCUACUUGGUACUCUGCUUGUUAUGCGCUGGAUGGGUUUCUUGACAAUGAGCCACAGUUUUCUGAAGUUUUUGAACCACAACAAGCUAACCUGUAUGUUUCCUUGGCAGGCAAGAAGGUCAGCAAGGCACCUAAGAUCCAACGGCUUGUGACACCCUUGACCCUCCAGAGGAAGCGUGCUAGAAUCGCUGACAAGAAGAAGAGGAUAACUAAGAAGAAGUCUGAGGCUGCUGAGUACCAGAAGCUUCUUGCCCAGAGGCUGAAGGAACAGAGAGACCGCCGGAGCGAGAGCUUGGCCAAGAGGAGGUCCAAGCUUUCUGCCGCCGCCAAGGCUUCUGCUGCCACCUCUGCUUAAGAAUGUUCAGUGUUUUGGGAUCUUUGUAAGGUCUAUCUUGUAACGGCAAAAGUGUUUUGGGAUCUUUGUAAGCUCCAUAGUUCACAUCACUUAAGUGUUUCUGCUAGUAGUGGAUCCACAACUAUUUGCUUGCUUGGCUCUGAGUCACACCUGACCGAUCAAUGCAGGUGUCACUUUGCUUUUAACUGUUUACAUAUAAAGAGUCGAGUUUCGCACGUGGCCACCUGGGUCCUGAUUAAUCUACCCAUAUAGCUACGUUGGGUUUAGAUGCUUAGGCAUUCUUGUAAAUUGUUUUCUUAAAAC
rnacentral:lncRNA from 1 species